CAGAGCCUUCCUGCAGAAAGAGCAUAUUUGAGCUUGGGGGCGGGGCCGAGAUUAUCUGGUACGCAGCAUGUAGGUGGAACACGCAGAGUGGGUGGGAGGCGUGUGGCUGGCAGCCGGACCGUCACCUGUAGGAGCUGCUGGCGGGGUGCGCGGCCCAGGCCGCGGCGCCAAAAGCUGAACCCGUGGCGUGGACCAGGGCACAGGACCUGGCCGUGUGAGAGUCGAAACAUGAUGUGAGGAGCUGGGGGCUGCAGUGUGCGAGAGCCAAAAGCUGUUUGAAGAGCAGUUGUAUGUGAAUCUCUUAA